rnacentral:tRNA from 1 species
GGAGAGAUGGCCGAGUUGGUCGAAGGCGCUUGAUUCGAAAUCAAGUGCAGGUGUGAGCCUGCCGGGGGUUCGAAUCCCUCUCUCUCCGCCA